AGCGAACGCUGGCGGCAGGCCUAACACAUGCAAGUCGAACGAAGUCUUCGGACUUAGUGGCGGACGGGUGAGUAACACGUGGGAACGUGCCUUUAGGUUCGGAAUAACUCAGGGAAAUUUGUGCUAAUACCGAAUGUGCCCUUCGGGGGAAAGAUUUAUCGCCUUUAGAGCGGCCCGCGUCUGAUUAGCUAGUUGGUGAGGUAAAGGCUCACCAAGGCGACGAUCAGUAGCUGGUCUGAGAGGAUGAUCAGCCACAAUGGGACUGAGACACGGCCCAAACUCCUACGGGAGGCAGCAGUGGGGAAUCUUGCGCAAUGGGCGAAAGCCUGACGCAGCCAUGCCGCGUGAAUGAUGAAGGUCUUAGGAUUGUAAAAUUCUUUCACCGGGGACGAUAAUGACGGUACCCGGAGAAGAAGCCCCGGCUAACUUCGUGCCAGCAGCCGCCGUAAGAC
rnacentral:rRNA from 1 species